GAUGGCCUAGUUGUUGGCAGAAGGCAUCUAAAGUUUUACAGCCUCUCUUCAGAUGUUCUAAAAAUAAUUUUUGGCUGCCAAAAGGGAGUCGGCAUAUGUGGUUUAUGUAUGAAUGAAAAUAACUGAUCCCUGCAAGACGCACAGUUUCGUUCCGGCAGCUUUGCUUUAGAAAUGUGUUCGUCCACACUAAUUAGCAGGCACUCCUGGAUCAGACUUGAGUAUCCCUGUACUAUGCAUAUUCAAAAAUCUCUCUCCCUUCUCUGUUUUCUCAUCUGUUGUCUUAUUUAAUUGAAUCUGCUUUUCCUGCUCUUGCCUCUUUGUUUGGGAGAUUUACCCCAAGGUCACCAAGGGAGUGAAGGAGAGGAAGUGAGAUGAGGAUUACUCAUCAUCACAGGUCUCUCUCUUGUCCCCGAUUUCCCAUCGUACUUUUUAUUUUUUCCCCUUCUUGCCUCGUGAAAUGAUUCUAAGUUCACUUCAAUCUUUAUAAAACUCCAAGUAUUAUAGGGCGGAAGAAAAGUAAGGGAUGACCACGAAGAAGGGAAAUUCCCUUGGCCAGUUAGAGCCGUGCUUGGGAAAGGAGAAGCAGAGAUUUCGUAGAGCAUGUGAUUCAUACUUGCUCAUUGUGGAACAGAUUGUGUCUCCCAUCCUGCUGCCCUGUAGUCUGUGCCAUGAGAGAGCUCCUCUAGUGCCUAGGCACCGUAGGGUGGUAUAUUAUAAAAUGUAUUUUAAAACACUCGGGAGCUUGUGUUACAGUACAGUACAAUUAUUCCCAAAUACACCUGAUGUUUAACAAAAGAGAGACAGACCUGGUUAUGAAUGAUUUUGUUGCAGAUGUUUUUGGACUGUAAAAGCCACUGGACUCAUGGUUAUUCCCCGUUCCUGUCCCAAAUGCAUUAUAAUAAACAGCAUUAUGUUUGGCGGUGUUUUAGUUUAUUUAAUUUUUAAUGGAUAGUAUUUGUCACAGCAAAAUGGCUUGUUUUGCUCUACAGGGAUUGCCUAAAAAAGUCAGUCGUCAACUUUGUUUUGAUUUGCAAUACCAAUUUAUACACGCACGGCAACAAGCAUGUGUUCAGCUUCCGCAGACUUUAAACAACCAGCGUACAAAUGAGCUGUUCUCACAGUUGAAGUUGAGGUUGCUCCACACAUUGUGGCCUUGGACCCUCAGAUCUCCUCUUCACGUUUAAAGUCGAGUCUGAUUUCUGUUCAGAGGUCUCUCUCGUUGAAGAUGCCCAGAACAUUGCAGUUUCAUAGAUUUUUGGGGUCGGAUGGGACAUCAGUAGAUCAUCAUUUCAAUGUGGAUAUCUCCCUUAACCAUAUGCUGUAUCUUAAAAUCAUAGCCGCCUCUUCUGAAGUUCUCUUGAGAUGUGUGUGGGGCUUUUUUUGUUAAUAAAUGCUGUAUUCGGGAAGCAAUGAAACUGUGUUUACGUCCACAAUUAAAAUUU